rnacentral:ncRNA from 2 species
AGCCGUCGGAAACGGCGGGGCAGGCCGGUGGGGAGAAUCUGGGAAGCCGGUGAGAUUCCGGCACAGGCCCGCUGCGGUGAACCAGGCCCGCUCACGUCGAGCAGGGACCCGGCAAGUCCGAAGACCGGCCUCGCGCCGACCACUUGA